UACGGAGGAUGCGAGCGUUAUCCGGAUUUAUUGGGUUUAAAGGGUGCGCAGGCGGCAUGUCAAGUCAGCGGUAAAAUUUCGGGGCUCAACCCCGUCGUGCCGUUGAAACUGGCAAGCUGGAGUUCGUGGGAGGAUCGCGGAAUGCGCGGUGUAGCGGUGAAAUGCAUAGAUAUCGCGCAGAACCCCGAUUGCGAAGGCAGCGGUCCAUCACGCGACUGACGCUCAUGCACGAAAGCGUGGGUAUCGAACA
rnacentral:rRNA from 1 species